GACGAACGCUGGCGGCGUGCCUAAUACAUGCAAGUUGAGCGCUGAAGGUUGGUACUUGUACCAACUGGAUGAGCAGCGAACGGGUGAGUAACGCGUGGGGAAUCUGCCUUUGAGCGGGGGACAACAUUUGGAAACGAAUGCUAAUACCGCAUAAAAACUUUAAACACAAGUUUUAAGUUUGAAAGAUGCAAUUGCAUCACUCAAAGAUGAUCCCGCGUUGUAUUAGCUAGUUGGUGAGGUAAAGGCUCACCAAGGCGAUGAUACAUAGCCGACCUGAGAGGGUGGUCGGCCACAUUGGGACUGAGACACGGCCCAAACUCCUACGGGAGGCAGCAGUAGGGAAUCUUCGGCAAUGGACGAAAGUCUGACCGAGCAACGCCGCGUGAGUGAAGAAGGUUUUCGGAUCGUAAAACUCUGUUGGUAGAGAAGAACGUUGGUGAGAGUGGAAAGCUCAUCAAGUGACGGGAACUACCCAGAAAGGGACGGCGAACUACGU
rnacentral:rRNA from 1 species